GGGCUCAUAAGUUAGUUGGGUAGACCAUUGGUUGUACUAAAGCCUUUCCAAUGCUGGCGUGGGUUCGAAUCCCAUCCAGCCCG
rnacentral:tRNA from 1 species